CCAGAAUGGACCCCUCACAGCUGAGCCAAUUAGCAAAGGCAGUGGUGCCUCUGGGAAAAGGUAUUUUAGAAAUGGUGAAACAGCACCCAGGCAAAACCCUGUAUGUGGAGUGACAUUUCUCAAGUGUCUAUCUGCAUGUCUGAACAGCCUCCAGCGACAAAAAAAGGGGCAGACAGAGAAUAGAAGUUAUAAGUUGGAUUUAAGUAGAGAAAGAAAGGGAUGGACCAAGGAUCAACUCUCUUGGGUGAAAGAUGCUGUCACCAGGCUACAGAAACACCAUCAUGUUUCCAGAAGAUAGGGGAUUUUCAAAGAAAACACCAAAUGACACGUCACUAUUCUCUGGAGCAGGUAUUCAUCAUCCUUCACUGGAAGAUCUGAUUUGCAGUAGUCAGAACUACAGACAACAAAUUCCAUUAGUAAUUUCAGCCUAUUUUGAAAAGGCACCAGCAGCUUGUGUCAGUAAAUCGCACAUAGUCCCAACGUUCACCUACAUCGCUGGUCGUAAAGGUGUGUUAAUACUUGAAAGAGAGAAAUCCAAAAUGCAAAGGAUCAGGAAUGUUCAACAGCACCAGAAAGCAGAACAUCUUGGAGGUAUCAUUCCCAUCCUUUUCAUUUUGCAUGUGAAUAAAAUAUGUUGCCAUUUUUUCCUACAUUUCCUUAUUUCUAUACUUCUCAUAUAAUCAUACUGAUGGUUAGUUAAGCAUGUAAAAUUGGGUUACAAUGCCCUUGAGCACCUGAGGACCUUCAUUCAGCACCACCACACUGCCUCCUCCAGACUGGAACAUAACAACUCUUUACGUGACAGAAAACAUCAUGUAAAAUAAAUGCUAGAGAAAUUCUAGAUAAGUAGACAAGUACUAGAGCUGGUGGAUAAUUAGUAAGAAAUAAUCAUACCUGCAAAUUUAACCUAUUUUCAAGCAUGAUAUUUGACACUGGUUUGCAAUAAUUAAUUGUUUUUUUUUUUUUUUUGGCAAAGCUGCAAAUCACACCAGAAGAUACACUGCAGAUAGAAGUUAAAUCUUACAAAACAUUAAAGUUUGACAUUUAACUGGCAUUCUAAUAAAGUUCGAGAGCAAGGAUGCUUCUAGAGAUUUAUCCAAAAAGGUCAUAAAAACCGGUCAUAAAUUCACUUUGGAAUUUCAAUCAAACCUCUCAGCUUUAUUUUUGCACUGUUCAGUCACUGUUAGUCCUAAUGAUCACUUGACAUGAAAUUUGGCUACAACAUUAAGGCUAACGGUUUGGCUCUUAGAAGAAUUCAAUGAAAA